GUUGUAGCUCAGUGUAGAGUGCUUGCCUAGCACAUAUGAGGCCCUGGGUUCAAUCCUCAGCACAACA
rnacentral:tRNA from 1 species